rnacentral:lncRNA from 1 species
GGACCAAAGCGCAAAGCGCGCAAAUGCGUAGGGACUCAAGCUGGAAAUAAUCCAGGCCCCAAAACGCAUCAUUGAAGCGCGGACCAAUCUGCAAAUACACACAAACUACAAGUCCAAUUCAAAAAAAAAGAAGUAAAGCGUACAAGGGGCAAUUGAAGACUCGUAAGAAUAUGGAGGACCUAGCACGCAAAUUCCCCAUUUUAAGCAAAAGGGCGUGGAUCUAGCCUAUUAAUCGAGUCAAUGCGCGGAUCCUUACCCAUUGAACGGUGUCGUUUCAAUUUCUAUACAAAACAAGGUUAAAAAAAACCCUAAACUAGUUAUUCAUCAUUUAAAAGCAAAUCAAAAUAAAAAGAACUAAGGCCUAUCCUCCUGUUCUUUCAACCGAACCCAAAGGCAGCCCUCAAUCGCCGUUUCGCCUCCAUGCUUGGCUGACGAUCAUCACGCAAGGGCCUAUCCUAGCCUUUUUCGACUACGAAUCCAAGAUUCUUGCUCAAAAGCCUCAGGAUCUUCGCCUGGACUUCGAUUACGGCGAAGCAAACAAAGACUCGAAGGGGGGAAAAUAAGAUAAGUCUCUUAAUCUUUAUUUUUUAUAUAUAUAUACAACAAGUAAAGAUCAAGAAGAAAGAAAUAAUAACUAAAAAAAAUCGAAAAGAAAAAAUAGAUCUGAAAAUCACCUGGAAAUCUUUUCUUUUUCUAUUUCAUUGUUUUGUAUCUGUAUUUCAAUGUGUAUAUUGUGCGUGUGUUCUCCCCCUUCUUUACAAAAAUGAAAGGAAUGGCUUUAUAGCCGAACAAUAAUCCAAAAUAAAAAAAUACAAGCCCCCUUUUUUUUUUAUUCUAUUGUUUUUUGUUUCUAUUUGCUGUUGUCUGCUUGUCUGCUUGCAGGUACAUGGUGGUGUACGGAUGUGGUAUGGUCGUGUCGACGUGGAGGCGCGAGCGAUGGUAGUGCUGGAGGCUGCUGGAGGCUACUGCAGCGCCAAGCGAAUGGGGCUAGGGUUAGGGUUUCCAAGAACUUUCAAAGGAUUGGGCCUAUCGGGCUCUAUUUUUGGGUCUAGGUUAAUAUUAGUUGUUGGGCCAUUGAGUAUUGGGCUAGGGUUAAUUCGGUUUUGGGUUUUAAAUUUAGGUUUGGGUUUGUAAUGUUUUGGGUUUAAAAUUGGGUUAUGUAAUUUGGACUUGUGGACAUUUAAUUUGGUUUAAUUUUUAUUUAUUUUGUAUUUUGGUGGACCCGGGCAAAUUGGCCCGCUUACACAUAAUACUCCUAAAUUGGUGGAAAGAAAUAUUAUGUUACUUUUAUUGAUGAUUGUUCUAGAUAUUGUUAUGUAUAUUUAUUGCAUUCAAAAGAUGAAGCGCUUGAUAAA